rnacentral:rRNA from 1 species
GAUGAACGCUGGCGGCGUGCCUAACACAUGCAAGUCGAACGAACGCACGAUAAGCUCCUUCCUCUGCGGUUGGCGACUGGCGGACGAGUAAGACGUAGAUAACAUUCUAAUUAGUCUGGGGGAAUUUCGUGGGACAGGAUCUACUACCAUAGCAUACUUUCUACCGCAUGGUUCAAAAGUUCAUCACGCUCUUCCUGAUUCUUAUAGCUGAUUCCGCGUUGCAUUAGCUAGUUGGUAAGGUAACGGCUCACCAAGGCAACGAUGCAUAGCCGAUCUGAGAGGGUGAUCAGCCACACUGGAACUGAGACACGGUCCAGACUCCUACGGGAGGCAGCAGUAGGGAAUCUUGCGCAAUGGGCGCAAGCCUGACGCAGCAACACCGCGUGAGUGAAGAAGGUCUUCGGAUCGUAAAACCCUGUUAUUGGGGAAGAAAAUAUGUAGAAGAAAACCUGCACGUCUUGACGGUACCUAAAGAGAAAGCCACGGCUAACUUCGUG